GGGGAAUGGAAGCCCUGCAGUUCUUCCUUUUUUAGGUGGCUCAGGCCAGGGAUGACUCCUGUUCUGCUGCUGCCAGGUUGCACUGGGGACCAUGUCUGAAAUAUAUUUCGUCUUUUAAGGAGAGAUCGUACUGGAUAAGAGAGGGACAGACAACCCAGUUUUAUGCUCCAGCAAGCUACACAUUAAGGGGACAUUCCUUUGUCAGAUCUUGCACGUUCCCUGUAGGUUCCCUCCAGUCUGUGGAGUCCCUGAUACUGGUAUGUGGAUGGUCUCUGAGGGACCCCGCGCUGCAGAGUGAACAACAGCCCAUGGCCACACGGCUGAUGCAGACUCAUGAGAGGCACCUUGAGCUGCUUGAUGGGCCCUUUGACAAACAUCUGCCAGGAUGAACAAAUCUCUCAGCUCCCCAUGAGUGACUCUGUUGACUGGUGAGGCCCAUUUGCACUGCAGGAGCAGAGGAACAACAUGGAGCCACUGCUGAUGUGGGUGGAUAUGUUCAUAGCACAGACUCAGGUGUCCCGGUGUAGGAAGGGCUCUGCCCUUGCCUGAAGGGCUCUCAGCACUCAGCUCUCAGCACACCAGAGAGCUCCUGGCAUGUGAAAGAAGGUGCACAGUCCCUGCAGUUACAUUAAUUGUGGAU